GUCUCCGUUGGUGAACCAGCGGAGGGAUCAUUACCGAGUUUACAACUCCCAAACCCAAUGUGAACCAUACCAAACUGUUGCCUCGGCGGGGUCACGCCCCGGGUGCGUCGCAGCCCCGGAACCAGGCGCCCGCCGGAGGGAUCAACCAAACUCUUUCUGUAGUCCCCUCGCGGACGUUAUUUUUACAGCUCUGAGCAAAAAUUCAAAAUGAAUCAAAACUUUCAACAACGGAUCUCUUGGUUCUG
rnacentral:misc_RNA from 1 species